rnacentral:rRNA from 1 species
CUCUUCUUGUUUGAAAUAUGAAGUAUAACCUGCCCACUGAUUUGGUUUUGAAGGGCCGCGGUAUUUUGACCGUGCGAAGGUAGCAUAAUCAUUAGUUUUUUAAUUGAGGACUGGAAUGAAUGGUUGGACGAGAAAUAUACUGUUUCUUUUUAUUUAUUUGAAUUUAAAUUUUGAGUUAAAAAGCUUAAAUUUGUUUAUGGGACGAGAAGACCCUAUAGAGUUUUAUAUUUUAUAUAUAUUAAUUUGUUUGGUUUAUUUAUUUUAUAUAAUUUAUUUUGUUGGGGUGAUGAAAAAAUUUAAUUAACUUUUUUUAUUUAUAUAUAUUUAUUUAUAAUUAUUUGAUCCAUUUUUGUUGAUUGAAAGAUUAAAUUACCUUAGGGAUAACAGCGUUAUCUUUCUUGAAAGUUCAUAUUAAUAGAAGGGUUUGCGA